GUCGAGCGGACAGAAGGGAGCUUGCUCCCGGAUGUUAGCGGCGGACGGGUGAGUAACACGUGGGUAACCUGCCUGUAAGACUGGGAUAACUCCGGGAAACCGGAGCUAAUACCGGAUAGUUCCUUGAACCGCAUGGUUCAAGGAUGAAAGACGGUUUCGGCUGUCACUUACAGAUGGACCCGCGGCGCAUUAGCUAGUUGGUGAGGUAACGGCUCACCAAGGCGACGAUGCGUAGCCGACCUGAGAGGGUGAUCGGCCACACUGGGACUGAGACACGGCCCAGACUCCUACGGGAGGCAGCAGUAGGGAAUCUUCCGCAAUGGACGAAAGUCUGACGGAGCAACGCCGCGUGAGUGAUGAAGGUUUUCGGAUCGUAAAGCUCUGUUGUUAGGGAAGAACAAGUGCAAGAGUAACUGCUUGCACCUUGACGGUACCUAACCAGAAAGCCACGGCUAACUACGUGCCAGCAGCCGCGGUAAUACGUAGGUGGCAAGCGUUGUCCGGAAUUAUUGGGCGUAAAGGGCUCGCAGGCGGUUUCUUAAGUCUGAUGUGAAAGCCCCCGGCUCAACCGGGGAGGGUCAUUGGAAACUGGGAAACUUGAGUGCAGAAGAGGAGAGUGGAAUUCCACGUGUAGCGGUGAAAUGCGUAGAGAUGUGGAGGAACACCAGUGGCGAAGGCGACUCUCUGGUCUGUAACUGACGCUGAGGAGCGAAAGCGUGGGGAGCGAACAGGAUUAGAUACCCUGGUAGUCCACGCCGUAAACGAUGAGUGCUAAGUGUUAGGGGGUUUCCGCCCCUUA
rnacentral:rRNA from 2 species